UACGAAGGGUGCAAGCGUUACUCGGAAUUACUGGGCGUAAAGCGUGCGUAGGUGGUGAGUUAAGUCUGAUGUGAAAUCCCCGGGCUCAACCUGGGAAUGGCAUUGGAUACUGGCUCGCUAGAGUGCGGUAGAGGGUGGUGGAAUUCUCGGUGUAGCAGUGAAAUGCGUAGAUAUCGAGAGGAACACUAGUGGCGAAGGCGAGUCUCUGGACAUUUCCUGACGCUCAGGCACGAAAGCCAGGGGAGCAAACGGG
rnacentral:rRNA from 1 species